ACGCGCAUUCUAAAACAGUUCCCAUUUAAUUGUUCUGUCCCACACAAGCAAGCGGACGUGAUCUAAUAGACCACUGCCAAGGAUUAAGGGAUGAUACCGAACCGGUUUGGCUUUAACACCGGCUACAAGCAGCACAUCGAGAUGAAGACUUUGAACAGAAUCUUCUUCUUCAAAUGAGAGAAUGCCAAGACGUACUGUCACAGAGUUCUAGAAUGGGAUCUCGAGGGUGUGUGGGGUUGUGUUAAGGCCAAUGUUCAUAUCAUUUAGGAAAUUUGCUAAAAUUCGCCUGAAAGAUCGAUGGCGCAAACUCGUUACAAGUGUAUCACGGCUGAAUCUGUUAAUCAGUAUUUUGUUUUUGUGUGGUGUAGACUUUGGUCGGUUAGAUGUAACAGAUUCUCAAGUUGAUCUACUACCAGGCUUCCUCUUAGAUUCUUUAAAACUAAAAGAUGCCUCGAGCUUUAACACAUGCACCGGCGAACUUCCAAUACAGAUAUUUUUCUGUCUUUCUUUCCUUUUUCAAUUUUAAACACACGGCGGACGUGAGCAAAUAUUUCCAUAAAUUGGGAACACUGCUGGUCUAAAUUAAUCAUUCAUGUAACGACGAGAGUUGUUGCAAAAUUAUUCUCCUUUUUAAAAAAAAAAUCAUAUAUCGCUAGCAGGACUGGGCCCUUAAUCAUGGCAAAUCUUAGUGGUACAAAGCGCCUUCGAGUUCUAUUGACGACAAUACAACCCUAUCCGGCUUUGGUCAAAACUAGGGACGUGAUGCAAACAAAGAGAUGCCACGAUGUCCCGUAUCCCGCGAAGCUAGAGGCAUAUCCCGCGGUGUAAAGCCCUUUGUUUUCGCGCCGCGACGUGGAGAUGUUUUGCUGCCAAAACAGAACGUCUAGCUCACGUGCGCGCAGUUGUAAUCAUUAAUGUUUUUUUUUUUUUUUUACUGUUGUUGUUUUUCACAUAGUUCGUAAUACUAUUAAGCAUCUGCAAGGGUAUAUUUUAUAUUUGCAUCCCUUUAAAAGUAUAUUUUUGUGAGCAGGAACGCCAAGGCAUGGUGUUGAUCUCGUUUAAAUCGGUCGAUUUCCUUACAACCGGCCCGCGAAUAUGUUUUUACGUAAGGAAGAGGUCCAUUGCUGCGGUCACACUAAAAUCAUGUUUAGUUAAACAAGGUUCUUUGUCUGAUAACUUUCCAAGUUUUUCAUUGUGUUGAAUUCUCAGUAACAUGUACAGCACAGUCUAUUCAGUUUUCUUCUUGGUUCUGUCCACUCUUGGGAGAUUGAGAUUUAAACCAGUUUAAUUAAACCACCUUUAAACCUGGUUUAAGUGCUGGUGUGAAUGCGGUACAUGUGACAACAUUUUGGUUAUAUAAUUCUCGUUUUAUUUAUUCAUGUUUUUCUGAAUUGUUUUAUCUUUGUCAUAGCAGGGUUUCCCUUUGCCAAGAUUUAGCUGGCUAAUUUUGUCUGCUUCACAUCGUAUCUAAACCAAACAUUAUAUGAAAUAUCUUUUAUAACAUUUUCCCUCAUGAUAAGGAAGUGUCUCGGAAGUGUACCGUUAAUGUAUUUUUUAUCUAGAUUUUUUAGAUUUUUUUUACAAAUAAAGAUGAAAACUUUCUGCUGUUUUUGGUGCGCGUUGAAGUUGUCCGAUUUUAUUCUUGGCGAUGGAAUUCAUUUUUUCAUGUCAAGUUGUUAAGGCAUUUCGGGUAGACUCUUUCGAAAUAUUCUUGGAUUUAACGAUUUCGUUGAGUCCACAAUUGCGCUUAUAACAGACACGCUCCAGCGGCUUGGGUACCCUGUGGUAGCCAACUUUCAUAAAAAAAUGUGCAUUAUGCAGAGUAAAUGUUUCUAUUAAAAAUGUUUCUAUGCAGUAUAUUCUAGACUCUUUUAGUAGUGUCAACUGUCUGCCUGUCAGUUUCUCGUCUUUCAAAAACGAAAAGCUUUCAGUAUUCGAUUCGGGAAACAAUCUAAAAAUACUUCCAACAUAUAUUUUGAUAUAUUUUUGAUAUUUUUAUAUUUCUUAUGUACUCCGUUAAACUCUUUUAAUAAAGCUCUCCCCAAUAAUCGACCUUUCUUCAAUCCCCACACCUGUGCGAGACGAGAUAAAGAUUUAUACAUUUUUUAUACACCAUUAAUUUCAGUGACGUUAGUGUGCAAUAACAUUUCUAAUCAUUUCCAAUAACCUUUCAUUGAUCCAUUAGCAAUACCAUAUAAGGGGCCGUCAUGUGUUGGCUUUAUUAGCCUCGUUCUGGCCCACUGGUCGAGGCUUCAUUAGCCUUGUUCUGGCUCACUGGUCCGUGUUAGACGUAAAUAAAGGUGUGUAGUUUUGUUUUGUUGCGGUUUUAUGAUCCAGAUAUUAAUUAUAUCAUGUCACAGUUUAUGAUUUUUCGUAGAAUAACAUCACAACAACACACCCCGGAAACUCAUAUGAAAAGAAGUUCUAUUUAUAUACUUAUCUAAGGAAGCAUCAAUCACGUCCUUAUUAGCCCUGCCCCUCAUGAAAUACUCUGUUUAUUUAUCUAUUCAUGGAUCGAGUGAUGAAUGAAUCCCGCUCUAUUUUCACCUGGACCCUAAAACUCUAUCCCAAACAUUGCUUUACACUUCUAAUGUUAAAUGAGCAAUUCCCUUGAGACUGCUUCAGGAGUAUGCUUAAGUAACAAUCGCAAAGAGACAGCCCGUUAAAAGUAGAGCGCCGCGCUGGUUAGACAUGUGGCAUGGAUGGCAUACUGUCAUAUGUAUGUGUGCUUAUCGCCUCGUGCUUUGGGCUUGUAUUCAGCGUGUAUUUGCCACAAGGAAGAAUUUGAAUAACAAACUAUAUCAACGUAAAUAAUUUUGCAAUGAGAAG